rnacentral:rRNA from 1 species
UACGAGUGCUCCAAGCGUUAUCCGGAAUUAUUGGGCGUAAAGGGUGUGUAGGUGGUUGUGUUAGUCUUUUUGUUAAAUUCUUCGGCUUAACCGGGGGCAUGCAAAGGAAACGGCACAACUAGAGGAUGCGAGAGGUGAAUGGAACUCAUGGAGUAGGGGUGAAAUCCGUUGAUAUCAUGGGGAACACCAAAAGCGAAGGCAAUUCACUGGCGCACUCCUGACACUGAAACACGAAAGCGUAGGUAGCGAAUGGG